GAUGAACGCUAGCGGCAGGCUUAACACAUGCAAGUCGAGGGGUAUAGGUUUUCGGACCUAGAGACCGGCGCACGGGUGCGUAACGCGUAUGCAAUCUACCUUUCACAGAGGGAUAGCCCAGAGAAAUUUGGAUUAAUACCUCAUAGUAUAGCAGUUUCGCAUGAAACCACUAUUAAAGUAUCAACGGUGAAAGAUGAGCAUGCGUCCCAUUAGCUAGAUGGUAAGGUAACGGCUUACCAUGGCUACGAUGGGUAGGGGUCCUGAGAGGGAGAUCCCCCACACUGGUACUGAGACACGGACCAGACUCCUACGGGAGGCAGCAGUGAGGAGUAUUGGUCAAUGGACGCAUGUCUGAACCAGCCAUGCCGCGUGCAGGAUGACGGUCCUAUGGACUGUAAACUGCUUUUGUACGAGAAGAAACAACAUUACGUGUAAUGUCUUGACGGUAUCGUAAGAAUAAGGAUCGGCUAACUCCGUGCCAGCCGCCGCGGUAAGAC
rnacentral:rRNA from 1 species